AACUAUGAAGAUGAAGCUAACUCCAUUUAUCAUCUUAUUGCUUGUUCUUCUUGCAGUGUGCACUGUUGCUUCCCAAGGUACAUCUAAGGUAGUUGAAAAUAAAACACAGCGGGGAAUUUUAACUAUUGGUGGAAUUUUGAAGAUUCAAAAGCAGAAACCUUCGGUACAAUCGUAGCAGGAGACAGUGUCUGGUGGUUACAGCGUAGCGACAAUAAUAUGACAAAAUUAUGCAGGAAGGAAUAUGAUAUGAAAUAAUAUUAAAUGAUUAAAUGAAAAUUAUUUUUAUCCAAACUCAUUAUAUCCUCAGGUAUAAGUUUUUUUUGGCUGAAAGUGUAUAUAACGAUCAAAUAAAAACAAA